rnacentral:rRNA from 1 species
UACGUAGGGACCAAGCGUUGUCCGGAUUUAUUGGGCGUAAAGAGCUCGUAGGCGGCCCUCCACGUCGGAUGUGAAAGCUCAGGGCUCAACCCUGAGAUGCCAUUCGAUACGGGAAGGCUAGAGGUAGGUAGGGGAAAGCGGAAUUCCACGUGUAGCGGUGAAAUGCGUAGAGAUGUGGAGGAACACCAGUGGCGAAGGCGGCUUUCUGGUCUGUAACUGACGCUGAGGCGCGAAAGCGUGGGGAGCAAACAGG